UCAGUUUAGAGCCAUUGAUCUAUCAUAAAACAUGAUGAUAAAGCGGAUUAGUGUUAUUUGGACCAUGGCAUCACCGGUUGCGGGCUCUGACCUUGCCGCCCAUUGAUGGUCAGGUGUUCGAGGGUUUGUAUUUACUCCCAGCUUAUUACAAACAGAAUUGAUCUUCUGUAUUUGUGGAAACUACCAGGUUGCAGGAUUCAAUGCGUGUUGGGUGCCUAUACAAAGUGCAGAUUUCUGUUGGAUUAAUUAUUCUCUUCCAUAUUCUUGGUUCAGAACUAAAUUAGACAUAAACUGAAAUUAUUAUACUUGUCAUGGGCUCCUAACAUUUGACCAAUUGUCCGCCUACUUCCUUGUUCUCAUAUUUCGUUAUUUCAUGUGUAUCCCGGUGAGUAAUAUGGUCCCCUUCCCUAGAUACAUAUUUAUUACUUGAUUGGGUUGCAGUGAAAGAAUUAUUGUGUUGCUCUUAGACACUAAAGAUAUUAUU